GAUGAACGCUGGCGGCGUGCCUAAUACAUGCAAGUAGAACGCUGAAGGAAGGAGCUUGCUCUUUCCGGAUGAGUUGCGAACGGGUGAGUAACGCGUAGGUAACUUGCCUGGUAGCGGGGGAUAACUAUUGGAAACGAUAGCUAAUACCGCAUAACAGUAGAUGUUGCAUGAUAUCUACUUAAAAGGUGCAAUUGCACCACUACCAGAUGGACCUGCGUUGUAUUAGCUAGUUGGUGAGGUAACGGCUCACCAAGGCGACGAUACAUAGCCGACCUGAGAGGGUGAUCGGCCACACUGGGACUGAGACACGGCCCAGACUCCUACGGGAGGCAGCAGUAGGGAAUCUUCGGCAAUGGACGGAAGUCUGACCGAGCAACGCCGCGUGAGUGAAGAAGGUUUUCGGAUCGUAAAGCUCUGUUGUAAGAGAAGAACGAGUGUGAGAGUGGAAAGUUCACACUGUGACGGUAUCUUACCAGAAAGGGACGGCUAACUACGUG
rnacentral:rRNA from 1 species